GAAGCUCGCCACCCAUUAUCGAUGACAGGGAGAGAAAUACAGAAAAGAAAAGAAGGAAUGUUUCAGUGUUAGUAAAAAGGGCAAGCUAAAAAAAUUCAGCAAAAAGGAGAUUUGGGGAUCUUCCUUGUACAACAGUGAUUCUGCUGUUCUAUUGCUACUGGCUCUGUCAGUGCAGAAGGACAGCUCUGUCCUCGGGGGGGGGAAAUGCAGCUUCACACUGGGACAAAGACAACCAGGAAAUGCCAAAGUAGGUGUGAACUAUGGAAUCUCUGAACGGGAGCACCUGGCAAAGGUCACCUUUAAAUUGAAGCACAAACCUAUUCCUUUGGGUUAAGUUGGUGCUUUGGUCUUACUGCAGAAGUUGGCACACCUGGGCUGCUGGCCGUGUUACCCAGGACUCACCUCCUUGCGAUUCUUCCUGGUGAGGCUCUGCCAUGCUUGAACCAGGGCAUCCUUUCUCUUGAAAGCUAAUCCUUGACAGCAACAAAUUGGAAGUUCCUGGGCUUGCAAAUAAAUGUGGGUAUUUUCAUCAGACCUUCAUAUUUUCUUCAGUAACUGUGAAAUCAAAAGCACUUCUAAAAAUCCAUCGAGAACACUUUGGAGUCGUGGGGAAUAUCCAGGUUGGUCUGCUAGAAUUACUGGAUGGAAGAGACAGUGGAAAAUAAUAGUUGGCCACACUGGUCUCAGGAAAACAGGGCGGAAAUGGGUAAAGCCAUUAUGAAAACCAAUUUACCCUAGAAACCUGUAACUACAUAGGCUUUUUUUUAUUGUUAUUUCUGAACUCAGAGCUCUGUGUGAUUAAUGGAUCAAACAGUGUAAGCUAGACCUGAAAUGUCUGUUCGAAAAUAUUAUGUUAAAUGCUCCUGCUCAUUUGCAUACUGUCUGCCUGUUAAUAAAGUCACAGGAG
rnacentral:lncRNA from 7 species